UACGUAGGGUCCGAGCGUUGUCCGGAAUUACUGGGCGUAAAGAGCUCGUAGGUGGUUUGUCGCGUUGUUCGUGAAAACUCACAGCUCAACUGUGGGCGUGCGGGCGAUACGGGCAGACUAGAGUACUGCAGGGGAGACUGGAAUUCCUGGUGUAGCGGUGGAAUGCGCAGAUAUCAGGAGGAACACCGGUGGCGAAGGCGGGUCUCUGGGCAGUAAACUGAC
rnacentral:rRNA from 1 species